GUGGGGAAUAUUGGACAAUGGGCGAAAGCCUGAUCCAGCCAUGCCGCGUGUGUGAAGAAGGUCUUCGGAUUGUAAAGCACUUUAAGUUGGGAGGAAGGGUAGUAACCUAAUACGUUGCUACUUUGACGUUACCGACAGAAUAAGCACCGGCUAACUUCGUGCCAGCAGCCGCGGUAAUACGAAGGGUGCAAGCGUUAAUCGGAAUUACUGGGCGUAAAGCGCGCGUAGGUGGUUUUGUAAGUUGGAGGUGAAAUCCCCGGGCUCAACCUGGGAACUGCCUCCAAAACUGCAUGACUAGAGUACGGUAGAGGGUAGUGGAAUUUCCUGUGUAGCGGUGAAAUGCGUAGAUAUAGGAAGGAACACCAGUGGCGAAGGCGACUACCUGGACUGAUACUGACACUGAGGUGCGAAAGCGUGGGGAGCAAACAGGAUUAGAAACCCCAGUAGUCC
rnacentral:rRNA from 1 species